GGCCUGUUAGCUCAGAUGGUUAGAGCGUGGUGCUAAUAACGCCAAGGUCGCGGGUUCGAUGCUUUGAACUUAUGUACAGUUC